AGUGAACGCUGGCGGUAGGCCUAACACAUGCAAGUCGAACGGCAGCACAGUAAGAGCUUGCUCUUACGGGUGGCGAGUGGCGGACGGGUGAGGAAUACAUCGGAAUCUACUUUUUCGUGGGGGAUAACGUAGGGAAACUUACGCUAAUACCGCAUACGACCUACGGUUGAAAGCAGGGGAUCUUCGGACCUUUCGCGAUUGAAUGAGCCGAUGUCGGAUUAGCUAGUUGGCGGGGUAAAGGCCCACCAAGGCGACGAUCCGUAGCUGGUCUGAGAGGAUGAUCAGCCACACUGGAACUGAGACACGGUCCAGACUCCUACGGGAGGCAGCAGUGGGGAAUAUUGGACAAUGGGCGCAAGCCUGAUCCAGCCAUACCGCGUGGGUGAAGAAGGCCUUCGGGUUGUAAAGCCCUUUUGUUGGGAAAGAAAAGCAGCAGGUUAAUACCCCGCUGUUCUGACGGUACCCAAAGAAUAAGCACCGGCUAACUUCGUG
rnacentral:rRNA from 1 species